rnacentral:rRNA from 1 species
GACGAACGCUGGCGGUGUGCCUCAAACAUGCAAGUCGAGGGAGGGUUGGCGAGUGGCUUGCCAUUCGUUCAACUCUACCGGCAAACGGGUGAGUAACACGUGGGAAACCUGCCCUGAAGACGGGGACAACUUCGGGAAACCGGGGCUAAUACCCGAUACCCUCCACGGGGGGCAUCCUCUGUGGAGGAAAGGUUCCGCAAGGUUCGCUUCAGGAGGGUCCCGCGGCCUAUCAGCUAGUUGGUGGGGUAACGGCCUACCAAGGCAUGACGGGUAGCUGGUCUGAGAGGACGAUCAGCCACACUGGGACUGAGACACGGCCCAGACUCCUACGGGAGGCAGCAGUUGGGAAUAUUGGGCAA